rnacentral:rRNA from 1 species
AGUGAACGCUGGCGGUAGGCCUAACACAUGCAAGUCGAACGGCAGCACAGUAAGAGCUUGCUCUUACGGGUGGCGAGUGGCGGACGGGUGAGGAAUACAUCGGAAUCUACUUUUUCGUGGGGGAUAACGUAGGGAAACUUACGCUAAUACCGCAUACGACCUACGGGUGAAAGCAGGGGAUCUUCGGACCUUGCGCGAUUGAAUGAGCCGAUGUCGGAUUAGCUAGUUGGCGGGGUAAAGGCCCACCAAGGCGACGAUCCGUAGCUGGUCUGAGAGGAUGAUCAGCCACACUGUAACUGAGACACGGUCCCGACUCCUACGGGAGGAAGCAGUGGGGAAUAUUGGACAAUGGGGGCAAGCCUGAUCCAGCCAUACCGGGUGGGUGAAGAAGGCCUUCGGGUUGUAAAGCCCUUUUGUUGGGAAAGAAAAGCAGCAGGUUAAUACCCCGCUGUUCUGACGGUACCCAAAGAAUAAGCACCGGCUAACUUCGUG